rnacentral:rRNA from 1 species
UACGUAGGGGGCGAGCGUUGUCCGGAAUUAUUGGGCGUAAAGAGCGUGUAGGCGGUUCGGUAAGUCUGUCGUGAAAUCCUGGGGCUCAACCUCGGGCGUGCGAUGGAUACUGCCGGGCUAGAGGGUGGUAGAGGCGAGUGGAAUUCCCGGUGUAGCGGUGAAAUGCGCAGAUAUCGGGAGGAACACCGGCGGCGAAGGCAGCCUCCUGGGCCAAUACUGACGCUCAUGCACGAAAGCGUGGGGAGCAAACAGG